rnacentral:rRNA from 1 species
GAUGAACGCUGGCGGCGUGCCUCAAACAUGCAAGUCGAGCGGGGCUAUGUAAUAUCGCAAGGUAGAACAUAGCCUAGCGGCGAACGGGUGAGUAACACGUGGGUAACCUGCCUGGAAGACAGGGAUAACGAUUCGAAAGGGUCGCUAAUACCUGAUAAUAUCCUUUCAUCGCAUGGUGAUAGGAAGAAAGGGGAAACCCGCUUUCAGAUGGGCCCGCGUCCCAUCAGCUAGUUGGUAAGGUAAAGGCUUACCAAGGCGACGACGGGUAGCCGGUCUGAGAGGAUGGCCGGCCACAAGGGCACUGAGAGACGGGCCCUACUCCUACGGGAGGCAGCAGUGGGGGAUUUUGGACAAUGGGCGAAAGCCUGAUCCAGCGACGCCGCGUGGAGGACGAAGCCCUUCGGGGUGUAAACUCCUUUUCUCAGGGAAAAGGAUGAUGGUACCUGAGGAAUAAGCCCGGCUAACUACGUG